rnacentral:rRNA from 1 species
CCUUUAAUUGUGGGCUAGAAUGAAUGGAUAAACGAGAGAUUAGCUGUCUCUAACUUACAUUUAAAAAUUGACCUACAGGUGAAGAGACCUGUAUUAAAAUAAAGGACAAGAAGACCCCGUAGAGCUCCGCUUUUGAUUAAUCAAUAAUAACAACUAUUUAUAGUUAAUUAAUCCUUUAAUCUAAGCUUGGCUGGGGCGGCCAAGGAGAAAAAUAUAUCCUCCAUUUUCACCUAUAAAGCUCUUUUAGGUUUAUUCACCGUUUUAUUUAAUGACCCUUUUCAGAUCACAAAACUAAGCUACCUC